rnacentral:lncRNA from 1 species
UUAGCCUUAAACAGGAUGUGAACCCUUGUCUUGAAAUUCUUUACCUUGAGUUGGGAUGAGCUUAAUUGUAUGCGAUGAAAAGGUUCAAGUUUGGGGUUGCAUGGGGGAAAUUGAAAGGCAAUGGAAAAGCAUUGAGCUCAAAUGUGUGAAAGAAAAAUACAUGAGAAAAAGAAAAGAAAAGAAGAAAAAACAUGAAGAUGAGCUCAAUGAAAAAGAAAAGGGAAAAAGUUGGGAAUAAGUGAUAUUGGUGAGGAAGAGAGUGAUACUUAAAUGUUGAAUACUAUGGUAGCUCUCUUAACUCAAGGACUUUGCAUUCUAGAAAAACCAAUUUUCUUGUUAGUCGAGCC